CCUACGAGUGGCAGCAGUGAGGAAUUUUGCGCAAUGGGGGAAACCCUGACGCAGCAACGCCGCGUGGGCGAUGAAGGCCUUCGGGUCGUAAAGCCCUGUCGGGCGGGAAGAACGCUCUUGGUCGAAGGACUGGGGGGUGACGGUACCGCCAGAGGAAGCACCGGCUAACUCCGUGCCAGCAGCCGCGGUAAUACGGAGGGUGCAAGCGUUAUUCGGAAUUACUGGGCGUAAAGGGCGUGCAGGCGGGAGAGCAAGUCUGAUGUGAAAGCCCGGGGCUUAACCCCGGAAGGGCAGUGGAAACUGCUUUGCUGGAGUGCGGGAGAGGAAGGGAGAAUUCCCGGUGUAGAGGUGAAAUUCGUAGAGAUCGGGAGGAACAUCAGUGGCGAAGGCGCCCUUCUGGACAGCAACUGACGCUGAGCCGCGAAAGCGUGGGGAGCAAACAGUAUUAGACACCCUAGUAGUC
rnacentral:rRNA from 1 species